CAAAGGCUUCGGCCGGUAAAGGAUGGGGAUGCGUCUGAUUAGCUUGCCGGCGGGGUAACGGCCCACCGGGGCGACGAUCAGUAGGGGUUCUGAGAGGAAGGUCCCCCACAUUGGAACUGAGACACGGUCCAAACUCCUACGGGAGGCAGCAGUGAGGAAUAUUGGUCAAUGGGCGCGAGCCUGAACCAGCCAAGUAGCGUGCAGGACGACGGCCCUAUGGGUUGUAAACUGCUUUUAUACGGGGAUAAAGUAUGCCACGUGUGGUUUAUUGCAGGUACCGUAUGAAUAAGGACCGGCUAAUUCCGUGCCAGCAGCCGCGGUAAUACGGAAGGUCCGGGCGUUAUCCGGAUUUAUUGGGUUUAAAGGGAGCGUAGGCCGGGUUUUAAGCGUGCCGUGAAAUGUCGGGGCUCAACCUUGACACUGCGGCGCGAACUGGAGUCCUUGAGUGCGCGGAACGUAUGCGGAAUUCGUGGUGUAGCGGUGAAAUGCUUAGAUAUCACGAAGAACCCCGAUUGCGAAGGCAGCAUACGGCAGCGCUACUGACGCUGAAGCUCGAAGGCGCGGGUAUCGAACAGGAUUAGAUACCCUGGUAGUCCGCGCGGUA
rnacentral:rRNA from 1 species